GAUCAAGCGUCAAAAGGGCAUCUAGUGAAUGCCUUGGUGCGUAGAGGCGAUGAAGGACGUGGCACGCUGCGUAAAGCUGUGGUGAGGUGCGAGCAACCUUUGACCCGCAGAUAUCCGAAUGGGGAAACCCACCCGCAAGGGUAUCCUGUACUGAAUACAUAGGUGCAGGAGGCAAACCCGGGGAACUGAAACAUCUCAGUACCUGGAGGAAAGGACAUCAAUUGAGACUCCGUUAGUAGUGGCGAGCGAACGCGGAUCAGGCCAGUGCUCUCUCUUAGAUUAUCAGAACCAUCUGGAAAGUUGGGCCGUAGCGGGUGAUAGCCCCGUAUGAAGCGUCGACGAGAGAGACUCGAGUAGGGCGGAACACGUGAAAUUCUGUCUGAACAUGGGAGGACCAUCUUCCAAGCCUAAGUACUCCUACGCGACCGAUAGUGAACCAGUACCGUGAGGGAAAGGUGAAAAGCACCCCGACGAGGGGAGUGAAACAGACCCUGAAACUGGAUGCCUACAAGCAGUCGGAGGGCGCAAGCCUGACGGCGUACCUUUUGUAUAAUGGGUCAGCGACUUUGUCUCUCGAGCAAGCUUAAGCCGAUAGGUGUAGGCGUAGCGAAAGCGAGUCUGAAUAGGGCGAAUGAGUUCGAGGGAUAAGACCCGAAAGCAGGUGAUCUAGCCAUGUCCAGGCUGAAGGUGCAGUAACAUGCACUGGAGGGCCGAACCCACUUCUGUUGAAAAAGAACGGGAUGAGGUGUGGCUAGGGGUGAAAGGCCAAUCAAACCUGCAGAUAGCUGGUUCUCCGCGAAAUCUAUUUAGGUAGAGCGUCUCAUGAAUACCAUCGGGGGUAGAGCACUGGAUGGGCUAGGGGGUCCUACCGACUUACCAAACCUAACCAAACUCCGAAUACCGAUGAGUAAUAUGAGGCAGACACACUGCGGGUGCUAAGGUCCGUAGUGGAGAGGGAAACAGCCCUGACCGCCAGCUAAGGUCCCUAAGUUAUCACUAAGUGGGAAACGAUGUGGGAGUGCUUAGACAACCAGGAGGUUGGCUUAGAAGCAGCCAUCCUUUAAAGAAAGCGUAACAGCUCACUGGUCAAGCGCUCCUGCGCGGAAAAUGUAACGGGGCUUAAGUGAUACACCGAAGCUGCGGAUGCGUCCUUUAUUGGGCGCGUGGUAGCGGAGCGUUCUGUAAGCUGAUGAAGGGAGACCCGCGAGGGCUCCUGGAGGUAUCAGAAGUGAGAAUGCUGACAUGAGUAGCGACAAAGAGUGUGAGAGACACUCUCGCCGAAAGUCCAAGGGUUCCUGCGCAAUGCUAAUCAGCGCAGGGUUAGCCGGCCCCUAAGGCGAGGCCGAAAGGCGUAGUCGAUGGGAACCAGGUCAAUAUUCCUGGGCCAGCGGGUAGUGACGGAUUCUGGAAGUUGUUCACUCUUAUUGGAUUGAGUGGGCAGCCAAGGAGUCCCUGGAAAUAGCUCCCGCAUUAGACCGUACCCUAAACCGACACAGGUGGACAGGUAGAGUAUACCAAGGCGCUUGAGAGAACUAUGCUGAAGGAACUCGGCAAAUUACUCCCGUAAGUUCGCGAGAAGGGAGCCUGGCUUUGCGCAAGCAAUGUCCAGGGGCACAGACCAGGGGGUGGCGACUGUUUACUAAAAACACAGGGCUCUGCGAAGUCGUAAGACGACGUAUAGGG
rnacentral:rRNA from 1 species